rnacentral:rRNA from 1 species
GACGAACGCUGGCGGCGUGCUUAACACAUGCAAGUCGAACGGUAAGGCUCCAGCUUGCUGGGGUACACGAGUGGCGAACGGGUGAGUAACACGUGGGUGACCUGCCCUGCACUUCGGGAUAAGCCUGGGAAACUGGGUCUAAUACCGGAUAGGACCGCACCGUGAGGGUGUGGUGGAAAGUUUUUUCGGUGUGGGAUGGGCCCGCGGCCUAUCAGCUUGUUGGUGGGGUAAUGGCCUACCAAGGCGGCGACGGGUAGCCGGCCUGAGAGGGUGGACGGCCACAUUGGGACUGAGACACGGCCCAGACUCCUACGGGAGGCAGCAGUGGGGAAUAUUGCACAAUGGGCGGAAGCCUGAUGCAGCGACGCCGCGUGGGGGAUGACGGCCUUCGGGUUGUAAACUCCUUUCACCAUCGACGAAGGGUUUCUGACGGUAGAUGGAGAAGAAGCACCGGCUAACUACGUGCCAGCAGCCGCGGUAAUACGUAGGGUGCGAGCGUUGUCCGGAAUUACUGGGCGUAAAGAGCUCGUAGGUGGUUUGUCGCGUCGUCUGUGAAAUUCCGGGGCUUAACUCCGGGCGUGCAGGCGAUACGGGCAUAACUUGAGUACUGUAGGGGAGACUGGAAUUCCUGGUGUAGCGGUGAAAUGCGCAGAUAUCAGGAGGAACACCGGUGGCGAAGGCGGGUCUCUGGGCAGUAACUGACGCUGAGGAGCGAAAGCAUGGGGAGCGAACAGGAUUAGAUACCCUGGUAGUCCAUGCCGUAAACGGUGGGCGCUAGGUGUGGGUUUCCUUCCACGGGAUCCGUGCCGUAGCUAACGCAUUAAGCGCCCCGCCUGGGGAGUACGGCCGCAAGGCUAAAACUCAAAGGAAUUGACGGGGGCCCGCACAAGCGGCGGAGCAUGUGGAUUAAUUCGAUGCAACGCGAAGAACCUUACCUGGGCUUGACAUAUACAGGAUCGCGCCAGAGAUGGUGUUUCCCUUGUGGCUUGUAUACAGGUGGUGCAUGGUUGUCGUCAGCUCGUGUCGUGAGAUGUUGGGUUAAGUCCCGCAACGAGCGCAACCCUUGUCUUAUGUUGCCAGCACGUUGUGGUGGGGACUCGUAAGAAACUGCCGGGGUUAACUCGGAGGAAGGUGGGGAUGACGUCAAAUCAUCAUGCCCCUUACGUCCAGGGCUUCACACAUGCUACAAUGGUCGGUACAGUGGGUUGCCAGUCCGUGAGGGCGAGCUAAUCCCGCAAAGCCGGUCUCAGUUCGGAUCGGGGUCUGCAACUCGACCCCGUGAAGUCGGAGUCGCUAGUAAUCGCAGAUCAGCAACGCUGCGGUGAAUACGUUCCCGGGCCU